rnacentral:rRNA from 1 species
ACAUGCCUACAACAUAGCAUUAAUGCAACAAAUCCCAUUAUAACUCCGCAAUUAAGCACGCUCAGGCUAGAGUAGUACUAGGAUGGGUGACCCCAGGAAGUCCUAGUGUUUUACAUGAC